rnacentral:rRNA from 1 species
AGUGAACGCUGGCGGUAGGCCUAACACAUGCAAGUCGAACGGCAGCACAGUAAGAGCUUGCUCUUACGGGUGGCGAGUGGCGGACGGGUGAGGAAUACAUCGGAAUCUACUUUUUCGUGGGGGAUAACGUAGGGAAACUUACGCUAAUACCGCAUACGACCUACGGGUGAAAGCAGGGGAUCUUCGGACCUUGCGCGAUUGAAUGAGCCGAUGUCGGAUUAGCUAGUUGGCGGGGUAAAGGCCCACCAAGGCGACGAUCCGUAGCUGGUCUGAGAGGAUGCUCAGCCACACUCGAACUGAGACACGGUCCAGACUCCUACGGGAGGCAGCAGUGGGGAAUAUUGGACAAUGGGCGGAAGCCUGAUCCAGCCAUACCGCGUGGGUGAAGAAGGCCUUCGGGUUGUAAAGCCCUUUUGUUGGGAAAGAAAAGCAGCAGGUUAAUACCCCGCUGUUCUGACGGUACCCAAAGAAUAAGCACCGGCUAACUUCGUG